rnacentral:rRNA from 1 species
UACGGAGGGGGCUAGCGUUAUUCGGAAUUACUGGGCGUAAAGCGCACGUAGGCGGAUCUGCAAGUCAGAGGUGAAAUCCCAGGGCUCAACCUUGGAACUGCCUUUGAAACUGCGGGUCUUGAGUUCGAGAGAGGUGAGUGGAAUUCCGAGUGUAGAGGUGAAAUUCGUAGAUAUUCGGAAGAACACCAGUGGCGAAGGCGGCUCACUGGACAAGUAUUGACGCUGAGGUGCGAAAGCGUGGGGAGCAAACAGG